rnacentral:rRNA from 1 species
GAGUUUGAUCCUGGCUCAGAUUGAACGCUGGCGGCAUGCCUUACACAUGCAAGUCGAACGGCAGCAUGAUCUAGCUUGCUAGAUUGAUGGCGAGUGGCGAACGGGUGAGUAAUACAUCGGAACGUGCCCUGUAGUGGGGAUAACUAGUCGAAAGAUUAGCUAAUACCGCAUACGACCUGAGGGUGAAAGUGGGGGACCGCAAGGCCUCAUGCUAUAGGAGCGGCCGAUGUCUGAUUAGCUAGUUGGUGGGGUAAAGGCCCACCAAGGCGACGAUCAGUAGCUGGUCUGAGAGGACGAUCAGCCACACUGGGACUGAGACACGGCCCAGACUCCUACGGGAGGCAGCAGUGGGGAAUUUUGGACAAUGGGCGAAAGCCUGAUCCAGCAAUGCCGCGUGUGUGAAGAAGGCCUCGGUUGUAA